rnacentral:tRNA from 1 species
GGGGGCUUAGCUCAGAUGGGAGAGCACCUGCUUUGCACGCAGGAGGUCAGCGGUUCGAUCCCGCUAGUCUCCACCA